rnacentral:misc_RNA from 1 species
GGGACAAUAAUGUCUUCAACAAAUUUUGCCAGUUUUGAUUCAGCGACCUUGCGAUUCUUCAGUUUCAAACCCAUAUCCAUAGACUUUUCCUGGAGAAUCUUGAUAUCUGAACUUAUAGAACCAAUCUCAGCCUGAAAUCCACUAAGAAGUGUUUCCAUCUGUGAUAAAAUGCUGUCACAGUCGCGAAUUUGAUCAUGAAGAGACACUAGAUUAUCACUUUCUUUUAUGUAAUCCUGAAUUGAGUCUAAUUCAACUUGUCGUAAAUUGUUCUCAACCCCCUUUGUAUGGUCUCUUAAUGUUAUGCCUUUAGACAGUAUGUUUGCAACGACAUCAUCAUUUUUGCAUUCUUGCAACUCUUGCUCAAGUCCUUCCAAUGAGAUUUCAUCACUGCUGGCGUCCUCCUCAACAGUUAGGUCCCCAACAAACGCACCUAAAUCAAACACAUUUCUCGGCGUAUAAUUCAUGACACCUCGAUAUUGACCCCUGAUGGAGCAGGAUCAAGUUCAAAACAAAUAUUGAGAAGUAAGCUGCCUUGGAUCUUCCCUUUCCCUCUGUAUUCGCGGUUUGGAAUCUAGAUCGGUCGUUUCUGGCGUUUGGAAUCCUUUUCUCAGCGUUUGGAAUCGUGUACAGCAGUCCUCGUGUCUUCCCUUUCUCUCUCCAUUCACGGUUUUUAGUUGUGACCGUGGUCAAGCUCACUUGAAUUGAGUCAGCGUCUGGUGAUGCGGGCGUUCUUGCCAACUAGAUCGGUCGGAAAUCGCCUUCAACGGAACUGGUUUCUCCCUCCUUUUUUUU